rnacentral:lncRNA from 1 species
CUUGAUCUUCUUCUUCUCCUUCUCCUCCUUCUUCUUCUCCUCCUUCUUCUUCUUCUUCUUCUUCUUCUUCUUCUCCUUCUCCUCUUUCUUCUUCUCCUUACCUUAUUUUACCCAACAAAGACAUAAUUAGCUAUUUUAGCUCCGAAAUGACAUAAUUAGCUAGUUUAGCUCUAAAAUGACAAAAUUAGCUUAGUUAGGUAAAAAACAGCACAAGAACCUUGGUUAGCUCAUAACUUAGAGUAUCUUCCUCCUAAAUGACAUAAUAAGCACAAAAUAAGAAAAGUAUUGUAAUCAUCAUCUUCCUCUUCCUAUCCUUCUUCUUCUUCGUCAUCUGCUCCUCCUCCUCCUCCUUCUUCUUCUCCUCCUCCUCCUUCUUCUUCUUCUUCUCCUUCUCCUUCUUCUUCUUCUUCUUCUUCUCCUUGUCCUCCUAUUUAUUCUUCUCUUUCUUCUUCUCCUUACCUUAUUUUACCCACCAAAGACAUAAUUAGCUAAUUUAGCUCCGAAAUGACAUAAUUAGCUAAUUUUGCUCCAAAAUGACAUAAUUAGCUUAGUUAGGUAAAAAACAUCACAAGAAUCUUGGCUAGCUCAUAACUUAGAGUAUCUUCCUCCUAAAUGACAUAAUAAUCUCAAAAUGGCAUAAGAACCUUG